CCAAUAGCGUAUAUUAAAGUUGUUGCAGUUAAAAAGCUCGUAGUUGAAUUUCGGGAUUUGUCAGUUGGUCGUGCUUCACUGUCCGUACUGGCUUGAUGGAUUCUUACCUUCUGAAUAACCAGCAUGCUAUUAAGUUAGUGCGUUGGGGAAGCAGAUCUCUUACCUUGAAAAAAUUAGAGUGCUUAAAGCGGGCUUGUUCUUGAAUAGAUUAGCAUGGACUAAUAAAAUAGGACGGCAUGGUUCUAUUUUGUUGGUUUCUAGGAUCACCGUAAUGAUUAAUAGGGAUAGUUGGGGGCAUUAGUAUUCAAUUGUCAGAGGUGAAAUUCUUGGAUUUAUUGAAGACUAACUUCUGCGAAAGCAUUUGCCAAGGAUGUUUUCAUUAAUCAAGAACGAAAGUUAGGGGAUCGAAGACGAUCAGAUACCGUCGUAGUCUUAACCAUAAACUAUGCCGACUAGGAAUCGGACGAUGUUAAUUUUAUAAUGACUCGUUCGGCACCUUACG
rnacentral:rRNA from 1 species